CACCACCCAUGCCGGCCGCUUUCGGCGAGCUCCGGAGCCGCGCUGCACGCCCCCAAGCUCACCAUGGUCCGCGCCUCCCUCCCCUCUGUCCAGAUUCUCCGCUCCCGGCCUCUACCACCCGCUCGCAACCCCACCCCCGUGGCUAGGGUUUCUGGCAAGGGUUUGCCGGCGCGUCUCCGGCGGCCCUAGAUGCAGAUGUAGCACACCAUGGGAGUUUCCCAUCCACCAUGGUGGCAGCUUCUUCACGGAGAUGUGAUGCAAAAGAAGCACAAUAGUUCAGUGAUGAUUAGCUUUGUUUUUUCCCAGUUGAGAAUUUGAGGUUGUAUGUGUACACUGUCAACAAUAUUUCCAGAAACAAAAUAAUCGUGUACAUCCUUGUUUGGGGAAAGGUGGGCUGUAUAAGCAUGGACAUUAAUCUUCACUUUUUGUGCUAUAUAAGCAUGGACGUUAGGUAGUCAAUUUAGCCACAUAUAGAAUUCGUUAGAGUAUUACAUUUAAAUGACUGACACAAGGUUCAGUAGGAAUUUGUUACAGUAUUACAUUUAAAUGGCUGACACAAGGUUCAACCAGAUAUAGAAGGUCACAUAUCAUUUUAGUUGUAAUUAUUCAAAUGGCUGACACAAGGUUCAGUAGGAAUAACAUUAUGGUGUUCCAAAUAUGCAGCGACAUGACUAAAGCUCAAAUUUCUAAAGUGUUUGUCGUGCUUGCCAUAACAGUGUAGAUCUUUUCACAUUUUCUGGAUUUAUUCAUGACCGUGGAGUUUUUGUGCCCAUCAUAUGUAGAUCUUUUAUUGGUAAGUUUGGAUGUUGUAGACUGAUCCGCUUUGGUAAGUCAUGUUUGCCUGCAGGGUGAUGAUGUUUAUGCAUCUAGGGAACCAUGGAGAUUUUACCAUGUGAUAUUUCCUCAAGCAAACUAAGUUAUUUUGCAAUUUGCUGCUCAAGUUGUGGCUCUUCUGCAGGCAAAACGGUCAUGGCGGUCCUGCACAAGUGGAUGAAUGACUGGAAGGGGCGGCACCACGAUGGUUAAGGUGGUUUAUACCCAGCCUGGGAGGACGACCCCCUACAAUGGGCACGGAAAGAUGUUGCAGUAGCGAACAAGGAGGCGGAGAUGCGCAAAGCAGAGUAGGAAAAACAUGCUCUGGUCCUCCUCCAAGCCCGCCGGCGACUCCCUAACAUGAUUUAACCAAUCACGAGGACUAGGAUGUUGAGGAAGAUGGUGAAUGGGAAGCUCCAACCAUAUGCAAAAGGAACAAUUUCAAAUCCUAAGUGCAAGGACCAUGUACGCAAAAGAUUGGAGGUGAACGAGGAUGACUCAAGCAUUACAAAGAACAGUUGGUAAACAAUGUACCGGUCUCAGCUGACCUUAUGUAUCUUGCAGUGUCAGUGCCAUACUUCUGUACAUAAAACGAUGGAACCGGCACCAAUCACUUGAACGGGCAUGUUGAUUUGGUUUUCCUGUCUAUGUGCCUUGAGCAUUUCUUCCUCUACACCAGGCAAUGAUUGAGGAUUCACGGAUAUAUUGAGAUCAACUUUUCGAUGCAAUUUGGAUGAUCAAAUCACACUACUAUCUGAGCAUAUAUGAGAUGUUCGCACAGCUACAUUUUUAAAUGUUCAUAAGGUUUGUGAACAUACAAUUUACUACAUGAAGGAUGUGCCUGGCUUCCAUGUUGAAGUAGUAGGACUAUUUCCACAUAUGCGAGAGAAGAACUAUGAUCGGAGGUACUAUGUAUGCUUGAUCUAAUUUAGACAUCAACAAUUAUGUAUCUAAAAGCUGGAGUUCUCCUUGAACAUUGUACUAUAUAUAUGAUUGAAAUGAGUUGCAUGUUGUUGGUGACGGCGAGUUGAACCAAUGGAAGCGGCUGUAAUGGUAAGAUAGAGAAGAUGGCCGUGGGAGAAAAAGAGGACGGCAGUAAUGGUAAAGAAGAGAAGAUCAUUGAUGUAAAAGGAGGACAUGUGUUGGACCUAGCAUGUCUAAAUACAAGCAUGUGGUCAUAAGUAUUUUCUUUUCCUUACAAACGAUAGUUGGUUAUUUGGCUUCACAACCUCCAUAUUUCAAUUUGGCAUGCAACACAUGUACAUGCAUGUUUUGUCUUCAGGUGA